UGAAGCGAAAGUAAAAUUUCGUGGAGGUCCGAACCCACGAGCGUUGAAAAGCUCGGGGAUGACUUGUGGGUAGCGGUGAAAUUCCAAUCGAGCCCGGAGAUAGCUGGUUCUCCCCGAAAUAGCUUUAGGGCUAGCCUCAAGGUGAGAGAUACGGAGGUAGAGCACUGAAUGUCCUAGGGGGUAUUGCACCUACCGAAGACUAUCAAACUCCGAAUGCCGUCAUCUUAUACUUGGGAGUCAGACUGUGGGUGAUAAGAUUCAUAGUCGAAAGGGCAACAGCCCAGAUCGUCAGCUAAGGUCCCUAAAUGUAAGUUAAGUGGUAAAGGAUGUGGGAUUGCACAGACAACCAGGAUGUUGGCUUAGAAGCAGCCACUCAUUCAAAGAGUGCGUAAUAGCUCACUGGUCGAGUGAUCCUGCGCCGAAGAUUUCCGGGGCUAAAACUUACUACCGAAGCUACGGCAUCAGUAAUGAUGGGUAGGGGAGCUUCCCAUACGGGUUGAAGCAUGACCGUAAGGACAUGUGGACAGUAUGGGAGUGAGAAUGUUGGCAUGAGUAGCGAGAUGUGGGUGAGAAUCCCACAGGCCGUAAACCCAAGGUUUCCAGGGGAAGGUUCGUCCGCCCUGGGUUAGUCGGGACCUAAGCUGAGGCCGAAAGGCGUAGGUGAUGGACAACAGGUUGAUAUUCCUGUACUACCGAUAACCGUUUGAGAGA
rnacentral:rRNA from 1 species